GAUGAACGCUGGCGGCGUGCCUAAUACAUGCAAGUCGAACGGGGAGUAGCAAUACUCUUAGUGGCGAACGGGUGAGUAACGCGUUGGUACCUGCCCCGAAGCGGGGGAUAACGGACCGAAAGGUCCGCUAAUACCCCAUGUGCUCGGUAACGAGUAAAGGUGAAAACCACUUUGGGAGGGGCCUGCGUCCCAUCAGCUAGUUGGUAAGGUAACGGCUUACCAAGGCGAUGACGGGUAGGGGACCUGGGAGGGUGGCCCCCCACAAUGGAACUGAAACACGGUCCAUACACCUACGGGUGGCAGCAGUAGGGAAUAUUGGUAAUGGGCGCAAGCCUGAACCAGCAACGGCGCGUGUGCGAUGACGGCCUUCGGGUUGUAAAGCACUUUUGACUGGGACGAGGAAGGACGGUACCGGUCGAAUCAGCCUCGGCUAACUACGUG
rnacentral:rRNA from 1 species